rnacentral:lncRNA from 10 species
UUUUGACAUGGACCUGGAAGAAUGGGGCAGUACUGGGACAGGGGAAGGUAAAUGGUAGUGGCGUUGUGGUGGUGAGAGGUGACAGCGUGCUAGCAGCCCUCACAGCCCUCGCUUGCUCUCGGCGCCUCCUCGGCCUUGGCGCUCACUCUGGCCGCGCUUGAGGAGCCCUUCAGCCUGCCGCUGCACUGUGGGAGCCCCUUUCUGGGCUGGCCAAGGCCAGAGCCGCCUCCCUCAGCUUGUGGAGAGGUGUGGAGGGAGAGGCGCCGGCGGGAACCAGGGCUGCACGCGGUGCUUGCGGGCCAGUGUGAGUUCCGGGUGGGCGUGGGCUCAGUGGGCCCUGCACUCGGAGUGUCCAGCCGGCCCUGCCGGCCCUGGGCAGUGAGGGGCUUAGCACCUGGGCCAGCAGCUGCUGUGCUCGACUUCUCGUUGGCCUUAGCUGCCUCCUGUGGGGCAGGGCUGGGGACCUGCAGCCUGCCAUGUCUGAGCCUCUCCACCGCGGUGGGCUCCUGUGCGGCCCGAGCCUCCCUGACGAGUGCCGCCCCCUGUUCCACAGCGCCCAGUCCCAUCCACUGCCCAAGGGCUGAGGAGUGCCGGUGCAGGGCGCAGGACUGGAAGGCAGCUCCACCUGCAGCCCCGGUGCGGGAUCCACUGGGUGAAGCCAGCUGGGCUCCUGAGUCUGGUGGGGACUUGAAGAAUCUUUAUGUCUAGCUAGGGGAUUGUAAAUACACCAAUCAGCACCCUGUGUCUAGCUCAAGGUUUGUGAAUGCACCAAUUGGCACUCUGUAUCUAGUUACUCUGGUGGGGACUUGGAGAACCUUUAUGUCUAGCUAAGGGAUUGUAAAUACACCAAUCAGCACUCUGUAUCUAGCUCAAGGUUUGUAAACACACCAAUCAGCACCCUGUGUCUAGCUCAGGGUUUGUGAAUGCACCAAUCGACACUCUGUAUCUGGCUACUCUAGUGGGGACUUGGAGAACCUCUGUGUGGACACUCUGUAUCUAGCUAAUCUAGUGGGGAAGUGGAGAACCUUUGUGUCUAGCUCAGGGAUUGUAAACGCACCAAUCAGCACCCUGUCAAAACAGACCACAAGUCUCUCUGUAAAAUGGACCAAUCAGCAGGAUGUGGGUGGGGGCCAGAUAAGAGAAUAAAAGCAGGCUGCCAGAGCGAGCAGUGGCAACCUGCUUGGGUUCAGUUCGACGCUGUGAAAGUAUUGUUCUUUCGCUCUUUGUGAUAAAACUUGCUGCUGCUCACUCUUUGGGUCCACACUGCCUUUAUGAGCUGUAACACUCACUGGGAAAGUCUGCACCUUCACUCCUGAAGCCAGCGAGACCAUGAACCCACCAGGAGAAAUGAGCAACUCCAGACGCGCUGCCUUAGGAGCUGUAACACUCACUGCGAAGGUCUGCAGCUUCACUCCUGAGCCAGCGAGACCGCGAACCCACCAGAAGGAAGAAACUCCGAACACAUCCGAACAUCAGAAGGAGCAAACUCCAGACACGCCAACUUUAAGAACUGUAACACACCGCGAGGGUAUGCGGCUUCAUUCUUGAAGUCAGUGAGACCAAGAACCCACCAAUUCCGGAUACAGUGGGAACAGGACAAUGGAAAGGCUGCACAAAUCUAAACCCACUGUCACCUCUGGGGCUCGUGCAUUCUGCCAACACCCCAUAGGAACCCGGAUCUCAGACGUCCCAGGUACGUCAGCCCCACCAGAAUUCUGUGCUCAUAGGACACGGUGAACGCUGAAUGUGGACAGGGCGGCAAGGACCCGGACACUUGGAUUACACAGGUCUCCUCUGCUCACACACCCUGACGCUGUCCCAUUGAACUUCACUUACAAAACACGAGUUUAAAGAUAAAAUCAUCUGUUUCACGAUAUGGCUAUGUUAAAAAAGAUAAAUUAUUGAUAAUUCCAUGGUGGUGACAGCAGAACAUUAAACCAACGUGGGGCCC